rnacentral:rRNA from 1 species
AUAAAUAAUGAUAACCCUAAGUGCUCAUGAUCUUAUUUCACUCAGAAGCUAAGCAUGGUCAGGGCUGGUUAGUACUUGAUUGGAACACCACCUGGGAAUGCCUGAUACUGUAAGCU